GAUGAAGAACGUAGCGAAAUGCGAUACGUAAUGUGAAUUGCAGAAUUCAGUGAAUCAUCGAAUCUUUGAACGCAUAUUGCGCUCUCUGGUAUUCCGGAGAGCAUGCUUGUUUGAGUAUCAGUAAACACCUCAACUCCCUUUUCUUUUUUGAAAUUGGAGCUGGACUUGAGUGAUCCCAACGCUUUCUUCCAAGAAAGUGGCGGGUAGCUUGAAAUGCAGGUGCAGCUGAACUUUUCUCUGAGCUAUAAGCAUAUCUAUUUAGUCUGCCUAAAAAACAGAUUAUUACCUUUGCUGCAGCUAACAUAAAGGAGACUAGUUCUUGUGCUGACUGAUGCAGGAUUCACAGAGACAGCUUCGGCUGACUUUGUAAACUCGAUCUCAAAUCAAGUAAGACUACCCGCUGAACUUAAGCAUAUCAAUAAGCGGAGGA
rnacentral:misc_RNA from 1 species